UGAAAAUGUCAAGAAGGAGCUGGAAAGGCAAAGACAGGGUGGUGGGAUUGUUCCAGGAAAAAGGAAGAAGUGUGAAGGACCUAAGCCUCCGAUGUGGUCGGUGGCUUCUAUUUUCAGGCUGCUGAGAGUUGCUGGAGAAAAUCACAGAUGUCUGCCAAGUGGAUCCUCCACAAAAUCACAUUGCCAAACCGGGCCGGAGCUCCUCAGCUGAUGUGCUGCGAGCGGCCCACUGGUGUGCAGGGAAGGAGGCGGCUUGUGCUCUGGCAGCCACUGACUGCCCCAGCAGCCAAGGAAGUCCUCGUGGCUGGGCACCUAAAAUCACGAAGCUCCUUGGAGGCUCGAGGAAGCACCCUAAGCAGAAUAGCUCUGACUAUGUGUGCUCACUACUAGCUGCGAGCAACACUGGCCUCCACUGGCUCACCCUGCUGUUGGGUGGCAAUGCAUUAAC